rnacentral:rRNA from 1 species
UACGGGGGGGGGCAAGCGUUGUUCGGAAUUACUGGGCGUAAAGGGCUCGUAGGCGGCCAACUAAGUCGGACGUGAAAUCCCUCGGCUUAACCGGGGAACUGCGUCCGAUACUGGAUGGCUUGAGUUCGGGAGAGGGAUGCGGAAUUCCAGGUGUAGCGGUGAAAUGCGCAGAUAUCAGGAGGAACACCGGUGGCGAAGGCGGGAUCUCUGGGCCUAACUGACGCUCAGGUGCGAAAGCUAGGGGAGCGAACAGG